rnacentral:rRNA from 1 species
AUACGGAGGACGCGAGCGUUAUCCGGAUUCAUUGGGUUUAAAGGGUGCGCAGGCGGCCGUGCAAGUCAGCGGUGAAAGCCCGGGGCUCAACCCCGGAAGUGCCGUUGAUACUGCGUGGCUGGAAUGCGGUCGAGGCGGGGGGAACGGGGCGUGGAGCGGGGAAAUGCGGAAAUAUGCCACAGAACCCCGAUAGCGGAGGCAGCUCGCCAGGCCUGCAUUGACGCUCGGGCACGAAAGCGUGGGGAUCGAACAGGAUUAGAUACCCUGGUAGUCCACGCCGUAAACGAUGGGCGCUCGUCGUCGGCGGCAGACAGUCGGCGGCCAAGCGAAAGCGAUAAGCGCCCCACCUGGGGAGUACGGUCGCAAGGCUGAAACUCAAAUGAAUUGGCGGGG